rnacentral:rRNA from 1 species
UGGGGAAUAUUGCACAAUGGGGGAAACCCUGAUGCAGCAACGCCGCGUGAGUGAUGACGGCCUUCGGGUUGUAAAGCUCUGUCUUCAGGGACGAUAAUGACGGUACCUGAGGAGGAAGCCACGGCUAACUACGUGCCAGCAGCCGCGGUAAUACGUAGGUGGCAAGCGUUGUCCGGAUUUACUGGGCGUAAAGGGAGCGUAGGCGGACUUUUAAGUGAGAUGUGAAAUACCCGGGCUCAACCUGGGUGCUGCAUUUCAAACUGGAAGUCUAGAGUGCAGGAGAGGAGAGUGGAAUUCCUAGUGUAGCGGUGAAAUGCGUAGAGAUUAGGAAGAACCCCAGUGGCGAAGGCGACUCUCUGGACUGUAACUGACGCUGAGGCUCGAAAGCGUGGGGAGCAAACA